rnacentral:tRNA from 1 species
GGGGAUAUAGCUCAGUUGGUAGAAUCUUGCCUCACAUGCACAAGGCCCUGGGUUCAAUCCCCAGUAACACACA